rnacentral:tRNA from 1 species
CCUUAGCUCAGUCGGUAGAGCAACUGACUUUUAAUCAGUAGGUCGCUGGUUCGAGCCCAGCAG